AACGAACGCUGGCGGUGCGUCUUAAGCAUGCAAGUCGAACGGUAACGGGCCUUCGGGUGCCGACGAGUGGCGAACGGGUGAGUAACACGUAGGUGAUCUGCCUUUGGGUUGGGGAUAGCCUGUGGAAACACAGGGUAAUACCGAAUGAUGUCGUAGUACUGUGGUGCAACGAUUAAAGGGGCUAUGGCCCCGCCUGAAGAUGAGCCUGCGGCUGAUUAGCUAGUCGGUGAGGUAAAGGCUCACCAAGGCGACGAUCAGUAACCGGCCUGAGAGGGUGGCCGGUCACACUGGGACUGAGAUACGGCCCAGACUCCUACGGGAGGCAGCAGCUAAGAAUCUUCCGCAAUGGACGAAAGUCUGACGGAGCGACACCGCGUGAGUGAUGAAGGCGGAAACGUUGUAAAGCUCUUUUAUGGAUGAGGAAUAAGUCUGGGAGGGAAUGCCCGGAUGAUGACGGUAGUCCAUGAAUAAGCCCCGGCUAAUUACGUGCCAGCAGCCGCAGUAA
rnacentral:rRNA from 1 species